rnacentral:rRNA from 1 species
GAUGAACGCUAGCGGCAGGCUUAAUACAUGCAAGUCAAGGGGGUAGCAAUACAACCGGCGCACGGGUGAGUAACACGUACACAACAUACCAUAUACUGAGGUAUAGCUUCGGGAAACUGAAGGUAAUCCCUCAUAGUAUUGUGAAAGGGCACCUUUUUACAAUUAAAGUUUCGACGGUAUAUGAUUGGUGUGCGUUUGAUUAGCUAGUUGGUAGGGUAACGGCCUACCAAGGCAACGAUCAAUAGCUGGCGUGAGAGCGCGACCAGCCACACUGGAACUGAGACACGGUCCAGACUCCUACGGGAGGCAGCAGUAGGGAAUAUUGGACAAUGGGCGAAAGCCUGAUCCAGCCAUGCCGCGUGAUAGAUGAAGGCCCUCUGGGUUGUAAAUAUCUUUAUCUGGAGAAACACUUCUAUUCUUAGAAGCUUGACGGUACCAGAGGAAUAAGCACCGGCUAACUCCGUGCCAGCAGCCGC